ACAGGUGCUGCAUGGCUGUCGUCAGCUCGUGUCGUGAGAUGUUGGGUUAAGUCCCGCAACGAGCGCAACCCUUGCCUUUAGUUGCCAGCAGUUCGGCUGGGCACUCUAAAGGGACUGCCGGUGUUAAACCGGAGGAAGGUGGGGAUGACGUCAAGUCCUCAUGGCCUUUAUGACCAGGGCUACACACGUACUACAAUGGCCGAUACAAAGGGCAGCGACAUCGCGAGGUGAAGCCAAUCCCAUAAAAUCGGUCUCAGUCCGGAUUGGAGUCUGCAACUCGACUCCAUGAAGUUGGAAUCGCUAGUAAUCGUGGAUCAGCAUGCCACGGUGAAUACGUUCCCGGGCCUU
rnacentral:rRNA from 1 species